AGCUCCAGUAGCGUAUAUUAAAGUUGUUGCAGUUAAAAAGCUCGUAGUUGAACUUCAGGCCUGGCGGGAUGGUCCGCCUCACGGUGUGUACUGUCCGGCUGGGCCUUACCUCUUGGUGAGCCCGUAUGCCGUUUACUCGGUGUGCGGUGGAACCAGGAAUUUUACUUUGAAAAAAUUAGAGUGUUCAAAGCAGGCAUAUGCCCGAAUACAUUAGCAUGGAAUAAUAGAAUAGGACGUGCGGUUCUAUUU
rnacentral:rRNA from 1 species